GUCAGGAUGGCCGAGCGGUCUAAGGUGCCAGAUUUAAAUUCUGGUUCUCGAAAGAGUGUGUUGUUUCAAACCCCACUCCUGACA